rnacentral:tRNA from 1 species
GGAGGUAUAGUUCACAUAGUAGAGCACAUGCUUAGCAAUAUACAAGGUCCUGGGUUCAAUCCCCAGUACUUCCU